rnacentral:rRNA from 1 species
UACGAAGGGGACUAGCGUUGUUCGGAAUUACUGGGCGUAAAGCGCACGUAGGCGGAUUUGUAAGUCAGGGGUGAAAUCCCGGGGCUCAACCUCGGAACUGCCUUCGAUACUGGAAGCUCGAGUCCGGGAGAGGUGAGUGGAACUGCGAGUGUAGAGGUGAAAUUCGUAGAUAUUCGCAAGAACACCAGUGGCGAAGGCGGCUCACUGGCCCGGUACUGACGCCUGAGGUGCGAAAGCGUGGGGAGCAAACAGG